CCUACGGGAGGCAGCAGUGAGGAAUAUUGGUCAAUGGUCGGGAGACUGAACCAGCCAAGUAGCGUGCAGGAUGACGGCCCUAUGUAUCGUAAACUUCUUUUGUGCGGGGAUAAAAGCGGGGACGUGUGCCCGGUUGUAUGUACCGGAUGAAUAAGGAUCGGCUAACUCCGUGCCAGCAGCCGCGGUAAUACGGAGGGUCCGGGCGUUAUCCGGAUUUAUUGGGUUUAAAGGGUGCGUAGGCGGCCUGUUAAGUCAGCGGUGAAAGCCCGGGGCUCAACCCCCGCACGGCGGUGGAAACUGGCAGGCGUGAGUGGGAUAGAGGUAUGCGGAAUUCGUGGUGUAGCGGUGAAAUGCUUAGAUAUCACGAAGAACUCCGAUUGCGAAGGCAGCAUACCGGAGCGCAACUGACGCUGAAGCACGAAGGCGUGGGUAUCGAACAGGAUUAGAUACCCGUGUAGUC
rnacentral:rRNA from 1 species